rnacentral:lncRNA from 1 species
CCUAAAGCCCAACAAAAAGCUCCUCAACAUUAAGUGAUUAAUAGACAUUUAUCAUUUAAAAAUAAAAUUUUAUACAAACAAAAUUCUCAUUUAAGAACAAAUGAAUACUAAUCUUUCCCAAUACAAUUUUUUUGAAUGCCUCUUCUCUUCGCUAGCUACUGAGGCAUGGAGUAUAUAUCUACAUUUGAAUUUGGUGAUAUCUAUGGUCUAUGGAGGAUUGGUAUUCUACGUCACGCACAAGAUAAAGGAAUAAGAAAUAAUUGUGAAUGCAUUGAAUUUAUAAUUUCAUCUUCAAAGUCUUUAAAAUAUGAAAUAAUUCUAGCUCGUGCUCGGACGAUUCUGAAUUCCUAGAAAAAUUAUUAUAAAAAAAAUGUGGUGUCUGUUGAUGAGUGUAAUACUUCUGAAAAAUUAAAUCCCGAAAAAAGAAAUGAUAGCGAUUGCAUUAUAUUGUUGCUUUGCCUUUGGCUAUCGAUACAAUAAUUAGAAUGGGAGCUGUACAUAGCUUGUAGAUUGAAUUGAUGUGGAUUUGUGGUGGUCCUCUGCUCAAAUGAAUGAAUGUUGCUGAAUAUAUAUUGAGACGCUGGUAUUGUAGCGCGGCUAAAGAUGGUCAAUGGGCGGUGCCGUGCCGGUCCAGACCCAUUAAAGGAAGUCCACGUGUACUCGUGCUCGUGCCGUGCCGUGCCAACCCGGC